rfam:Pelodiscus sinensis unplaced genomic scaffold scaffold1309, whole genome shotgun sequence.
CUGGGGUAUGGGGACAUGUAUCCUCGGACUUGGUCUGGCAUGUUGGUGGGUGCUCUGUGUGCUCUCGCUGGCGUGCUGACCAUAGCUAUGCCUGUGCCUGUCAUUGUUAACAAU